GACGAACGCUGGCGGCAUGCCUAACACAUGCAAGUCGAACGAGACCUUCGGGUCUAGUGGCGCACGGGUGCGUAACGCGUGGGAAUCUGCCCUUAGGUUCGGAAUAACUCAGGGAAACUUGAGCUAAUACCGGAUGAUGACUUCGGUCCAAAGAUUUAUCGCCUAGGGAUGAGCCCGCGUCGGAUUAGCUUGUUGGUGAGGUAAAAGCUCACCAAGGCGACGAUCCGUAGCUGGUCUGAGAGGAUGAUCAGCCACACUGGGACUGAGACACGGCCCAGACUCCUACGGGAGGCAGCAGUGGGGAAUAUUGGACAAUGGGCGAAAGCCUGAUCCAGCAAUGCCGCGUGAGUGAUGAAGGCCUUAGGGUUGUAAAGCUCUUUUACCCGGGAUGAUAAUGACAGUACCGGGAGAAUAAGCCCCGGCUAACUCCGUGCCAGCAGCCGCGGUAAUACGGAGGGGGCUAGCGUUGUUCGGAAUUACUGGGCGUAAAGCGCACGUA
rnacentral:rRNA from 1 species